UACAGAGGGGGCCAGCGUUAUUCGGAAUUAUUGGGCGUAAAGGGCGCGUAGGCGGCUUUGCGUGUCUUUCGUGAAAUCCCUCGGCUCAACUGAGGACGUGCGGAAGAAACUGCAGGGCUGGAGUCCGGGAGAGGAGGGUGGAAUUCCCAGUGUAGCGGUGAAAUGCGUAGAUAUUGGGAGGAACACCGGUGGCGAAGGCGGCCCUCUGGACCGGUACUGACGCUGAUGCGCGAAGGUCAGGGGAGCAAACGGG
rnacentral:rRNA from 1 species